CAAAUACUCCCUCCGUCCGGAAAUACUUGUCAUCAAAAUGGAUAAAAGAAAAUGUAUCUAGAUGUAUUUUAGUUUUAGAUACAUCUAUUUUUAUCCAUUUUGAUGACAAGUAUUUUUGGACGGAUGGAGUAGAUA
rnacentral:pre_miRNA from 1 species